ensembl:snRNA U6 U6 spliceosomal RNA
GUGCUUGCUUCAGUAGCACAUACACUGAAACUGGAAUGAUACAGCUGCUCAAGGAUGAUGCACAAAUUCGUGAUGUGUUCCAUACUUUU